UGGAAAAACCUAGUAACCACCAUCAUCCAUGCCAUGGCACCGAUCACAAAUCCUCAUCAAUGAACUCGCCAUUCUAACAAACCAGCACAGAACCAUUGAAGAUGUCCAUAGACAGGACAUCAUAGGCUAAUGAUUUCACAUAUCCACUGGACCCCCCACCAAGCCCAGAGACCAGAUCCCAGGAGGGACAAAUACUUCGGAGUUGUGUAACAUACAUGAUGAAGUCUUGCCUGGAGGCCACGUUACAUCAUGCACAUGCAGGAAAUGCUAGCUCCAGUCUCCAGGGGCCUUUAAUUCUUCUGUUGCCCCACUCUGGAGACCCUCUCCUUUGGUAUGAAGGCUGAAUGUAAGGGGCUGCUGUAAGAUGCUAUGGUUCUAUGAUCCUGCCCAGUGGUUGACUUGCUGUUUGGACAAGGAAGGUACACAAGGCUGGGCAAGUGGCUAGUAUAACAUCAUGUUUAUUUCACCAUUAUUGUAAAAGAGGAAAAACAUGUUCAAAUAAAGCAGUGUUACUGUGUUUUAAAUGGU